AUCUAAAUAGCUUAUAGUAAAGAGUAUAAUAUUGAAGAUAUUAGGGAAAAUAUUUAUUUUUUGGAUA
rnacentral:tRNA from 1 species